ensembl:lncRNA
GGAAAUGCAGCUUAAAUGUGAGUGAGGACUUGUUUGUCUAGGAGGAUGAGUCUACUCUUAAUGGGCUUGUGUUAAGUGCAGUGGAAGAUCUCUGCUGGACUGAUAUGGGGACAUGGCAGCCGACAUUGAAACUUGGACCCUUGUUGCACCAAGCAAUGAUCCUUGAUAUCCCAGCUGAUACAUGUGCACAUGCUGACUUCCUCCAGGACACCACAACCCAUAGUGAUAAUUGCAGUGCUGAAGCUACCCGCUGUGUUAAAGGUCAGCAGAAGGGCCUCAGCAGUGAAGUGGCACUUGCCUAUCAAAAUGCAAAAUACCGGGGUGAAACUCAGCUAUUAUAUGUUACAAAACUUGAGACAUUCAAAGUCAAGUAUAUCAUUCUCAUGUUCCAAUACCCAGAGAAGAAUGUCACAGCAUGACUCCAUCCUCGUGAUGGAGACUGAAAGAAGAAUGAAAAAUAAUGCAAAGUUAUCUCCUUUUUGUUAAAUCUAUUGUAAUCUUGUGUUCUUCCUCUGUUACUGCACUGAAAUAAAGACAUUUUAAUCCCAGGGUACAAAUGAGAAAAGCCCUGAUCUAAUAAUUGUAAAACCUCCCGAUCUGAUAUUUUAGAACUCAGAGUACUUGUCACUUAUGAAUAUUCAUCCAGACCACUAAAAGAAUUAUAUUCUGUCUGCAGUUAAGGCAGGAAAAGAACAUUGUAAAUUCUAAAGAGACAGAAGUAUUUUAUGGAACACUUGUCAAAUAUUAAGGGUAUCCACAACAAAAUUCUUGCAGGAAAAUUGUUCAGGAGAAGUGUGUGGGAUGGUGAUCAUUAUGGAACAGAUCUUUUAGAGGAAAAAAACCAUAAUAUACAGGAAUUCACUUCCAGUAUUAGAAAUAUUGGAAUUCUUCAAGAUAACCUGUUAAUGUGCAUGUUCAUGAGAGGGUAUUCAUGCUGCUCAGCUGAGAUUUUGAAUGCAAAAGGUUGAUACAAACUUUGCAAAAUAAACUAGAAAACCGAAUCAAACACUUUUUUUUUUUUUAAUGGAAGACAAGAUUUUAACUUAAGUUAAAUAUUAACUUAACUUAAAUAUUUUAACAAUAUUUUAAGGAGGAAUUUGGCCCCUGAAGGCCUGGCCCUUUUAACAUUAAGGUUAGUUUAAAAAUGUGCAAUAUUUUACACUUGUUUAUACCUCUUCCUUUGCGAUUAAGUAAACUUCAUAGUAAAUUUUUUCAUAGUAAAUUAAUAAAUGUUUAAUAAGAUUCUUUUCCAGUGCCUUCUGACAAGUCAGUGCUUAUAUAUAAAAAGGCCUAAUUUCACACUGGCAAGAAAUGGACUUGUUCCAGUGACAGAUGUACUAACCCAAGCAGAUACUCAGCAAGUUGGUUUGGAGGACUGAUUUUUAUCUGAAGUGGGAGACUUCUUGUGUAUACAAUAUUCCCUGAAGAAAUGAAAGUGGCCUUUUAUGAAUUCUUUCAUUGAUAAAUAUCUCAAAAAUAAAGGGAUCAGCGCUUCAAACAAGAUGGCAUUCUUGCUCAACUCUUUGUUUCCCUUCUAUGAGAUGAAGAACUAGGGAUAUGCUGACCCUGGAAUCACGUCUGCAAAGUGUUUGGAGUUGUUUGGGAACAAGGCUGAAGAAAAUGGAGAAAUAUUAUUAGAUUAUGUUUAUUUUUUCCAGAUUUUUUAAAAAAAAUAUUUUCAAUACCUCUGCUAGUGAAGAUGUAAGAGUGUUGUUGAUGGUUCCACACACCUUUUUGUGGGAAGACUUGUAGUUCAUAAAAAGAAAAAAAAAUGGAGGAGAACAUAACUGUUCUUGAAGGUGGUGAAUGGUGUGGGGAAGAUGGAUAUGAGGAGUGGCAGAGGUCACUUGGUUUGUUCAGCCUGGGGAGACUGAGGGAUGAAUCGACAGCUUCCUCCCAAGGCAAAACAGACAGGCAGGCACUGGUCUGUUCUCUUUGUUGACCAGUGACAGGACUCGAGGAAAGGAAAUGAAACUGUGUCAGAGGAGGUUUAG